rnacentral:rRNA from 1 species
UACGUAGGGGCUAGCGUUGUCCGGAAUCAUUGGGCGUAAAGAGCGUGUAGGCGGCUCGGUAAGUCCGCUGUGAAAGUCCAGGGCUCAACCCUGGAAUGCCGGUGGAAACUGUCGGGCUAGAGUCCGGAAGAGGCGAGUGGAAUUCCUGGUGUAGCGGUGAAAUGCGUAGAUAUCGGGAAGGAACACCUGUGGCGAAGGCGGCCCCUGGUUGGAUACUGACGCUGAGACGCGAAAGCGUGGGGAGCAAACAGG